rnacentral:rRNA from 1 species
UACGAAGGGGACUAGCGUUGUUCGGAAUCACUGGGCGUAAAGCGCACGUAGGCGGAUUCGUAAGUCAGGGGUGAAAUCCCGGGGCUCAACCUCGGAACUGCCUUCGAUACUGCGGGUCUCGAGUCCGGGAGAGGUGAGUGGAAUUCCUAGUGUAGAGGUGUAAUUCGUAGAUAUUAGGAAGAACACCAGUGGCGAAGGCGGCUCACUGGCCCGGUACUGACGCUGAGGCGCGAAAGCGUGGGGAGCAAACAGG